rnacentral:lncRNA from 1 species
UCUCAGACCACAGUGCAAUCAAACUAGAACUCAGGAUUAAGAAACUCACUCAAAACCGCUCAACUACAUGGAAACUGAACAACCUGCUCCAGAAUGACUACUGGGUACAUAAAAAAAUUAAUUAGUAUUAAUAUUACUGACUUACUCUUUAUAUAGGACUAUAUACUCUAUAGGACUACAUAUAGUAAUAAUAUAUAGUUCUAUAAAUAGAGUAAUAUAUAGUCAGUAAUAUCAAUCUA